GAUGAACGCUGGCGGCGUGCCUAAUACAUGCAAGUCGAGCGAACAGACGAGGAGCUUGCUCCUCUGACGUUAGCGGCGGACGGGUGAGUAACACGUGGAUAACCUACCUAUAAGACUGGGAUAACUUCGGGACACCGGAGCUAAUACCGGAUCAUAUAUUGAACCGCAUGGUUCAAUAGUGAAAGACGGUUUUGCUGUCACUUAUAGAUGGAUCCGCGCCGCAUUAGCUAGUUGGUAAGGUAACGGCUUACGAAGGCAACGAUGCGUAUCCGACCUGAGAGGGUGAUCGGCCACACUGAAACUGAGACGCGGUCCAGACUCCUACGGGAGGCCGCAGUAGGGACUCUUCCGCAAUGGGCGAAAGCUUGACGGAGGAACGCCGCGUGAGUGAUGAAGGUCUUCGGAUCGUAAAACUCUGUUAUUAGGGAAGAACAAAUGUGUAAGUAACUAUGCACGUCUUGACGGUACCUAAUCAGAAAGCCACGGCUAACUCCGU
rnacentral:rRNA from 1 species